rnacentral:piRNA from 1 species
UCCCCCUACUGACUUGUGAAAAAGGUGACA